rnacentral:rRNA from 1 species
GGGCCCGCACAAGCGGUGGAGCAUGUGGUUUAAUUCGAUGAUACGCGAGGAACCUUACCAGGGCUUAAAUGUAGUCUGACAGGGGUGGAAACACCCCCUCCUUCGGGCAGAUUACAAGGUGCUGCAUGGUUGUCGUCAGCUCGUGCCGUGAGGUGUCAGGUUAAGUCCUAUAACGAGCGCAACCCCUGCCGUUAGUUGCCAGCAUGUAAUGAUGGGAACUCUAGCGAAACUGCCGGUGCAAACCGAGAGGAAGGUGGGGAUGACGUCAAAUCAUCACGGCCCCUUACGUCCGUGGCCUACACACGUGCUACAAUGGCCGGUACAGAGAGCAGCCACUACGCGAGUAGGAGCG